GAUGGGGGAGGGAAGGGGGUGAUAAGGAGGGAGGGGGGAGGAUGAGGAGGGGGCCGCUGUGGGAGGGGGCGGGAGGGGAGGUGGGGGGGAGAAGAGGAAGAAAAAGAAGAGGGGAGGCCGCGGCUCUUUGUCUGCCCCGGCGCAAAAUGGCUGCGGCUCCCCCCGCCGCUCCCGGCUCCGAAGGGCGCCCCGCACCUGUGCUGGAGGCGUGUGACGGGAGGGGGGGGGGGGAGAAGGGAUGGACAGACGGGCGGAUGGACAGGCAGACAGACGGCUCCGGGUUGGGGGGCAGCACGCUGAGGUGUGUGUGUGUGGGGGGGUGAUGGGCCCGGCUCCCCCCCCCCGGGUUUUCCCUUCUGGGGCCUUGCUGCGGGGACAGCUCCGCGCCCAUGGGAUGUGGGGGGGUGAGGGGGGGGCCGCACUUUGACCCCGUUGUGCAAGCGCCAUCAAGGAAGUCAAUAAAUAGGGUCGGGGUGGAAAAAAAUAGGACCUGGCUUCUCGCUAACGCUCUCUCCAGCCAGGUGCUGCUUUCCAAAGGCGGCUGAGGCGUUGGAGCGAAAUGAGCGGGAAGAGAGAGCACGGGGAUCGACUCAGCACCUGCUAAUGCCCUGCCCAGACUUCACCGGCCUGCUGGCUGUGACAGCAGGGCUGCAGCGGUGGAGACUGGUAAGAGUAAGUGCUCUGAGCUCCCUGAGACUGGAUUGCUGUAAAUAGGUCAGGGAUGAGAGGAUUCUCUGCUUAGGGUGGCCCAAAGAUGGGUGCCAGUGCUUUCUGAAUGACAGUUUGUGGUGAUCACUUAACUCCUAGUGCUGUGACAUGGAACAAAUUGCCCUGCUCACCAGUUGGCCCAGUAAGCGAUGGGAACAGUCCUGAAGUAGUUCCAUAUCCUACCCUGCUCCCAAACACAUAAAUAUGUCUACAGGAGAUGUUUGCUAAAAGGUCACUCAAGAAACAGUAAAAACUGAUAGCUAUUCCUUAAUAAGGUGAGUAAGUAUCUUUAAAUCAAGUUUUAGCCCUUACCAUAAACUAUUUCAAUAACUGUUGUGGUUUCUCACAUCUCCCUCUCACCUGCACAAAGCGGCUGCUGAAUUAAAAUUACGAUGCUGAGCAUUUCCUACAGCUCUGAGCCCUUUACAAGAUGUCACUAGAAGGGACUGCAUAGCUCCUCUGAGAAGCUUUAAAUUAGGGUUUUAUAAUCCUUUAUCCUUGUUCUCACAUAUUUUAUACUUAGUAGUUUUUUUUUUGUCUUCAUACUUUUUCUCAAUCAUCACUCAAAACUCAGGGAGAAAAAGAAGAUACCCCUUCCCUCUCCACAGCUUUUACCUUCAAUUUUAUCUGUUUUUUUUGCCAAAUUGUAAUGCUGCUAAGUAGUUGCCCACUUCUUGCAAGGCAGGAAUGCUACUUCAGGCAGAGUCACGUCUACCAGUUUGUUGCUGCCACAGUCAAGCACACUGCCAGUUUUAGCUGUGAUGAAAUUCUAUAAGCAACAUACCAAAGAACUAUCUAGAAUAGAAGUCUCUUUGCAUUCCCCAAACAGUGGAAGAAUUAAUCUACAUCAGCUGCUCAAAUGAUUUAUGGGGGAGAGCUAGGCUUAAGCUGAAGCAGCCUGAAGGUGCAGAGUAGCUGCACAUCCUUCUUUUGCAGCACCUAAAUGGGUGUAUAGCCCAAAGCUGGGCUGGUACGAGUGAUGGAGGAACAGAGUGAGCGACAUGAGAGAUGGAUUAAAUUAUCCCAUGGCAGCAGUAGUCAACACGAAGGGUUAGAGCAGCCUAUGUUCUUCUACUGCUCGUAUUUUAGGGCAGCUGGAAUGCAGCUUACAGUUGUAUUACAGAACUAGAAAUAAAAACCUAGAAAUCAUCAGUCUUUGUUCUAGCACUCUCGUUAGUAGACCAUAUGGCACAUUUACCAUAUUAGGUAAACAACUUUACCAAAUUACAAGAGCAACUGAAAUGCAUUAUGACUUGUGUGUUGUAAGUGUGUAAGAUUUAUUACUGGAUAAUUUAUCUUCUUGCACUCUGCCUUUCAUUUGCUAUUGGAAGUAACUUUUUAGAUGGGAUUCUUCAGGCCCAGGAUUCCAGCUCCUCUGUAUUGUACUGCCCCCUUCUUACUCUAAAAGUUUCUCUAAUGUUCCUCAAAUCUGAUUUCUGUAAUUACCUCAAACCUGAAUCAGAACAUUUCAAGAAGUGGUUGGAGCCAAUGGAGAAUAAUUUGUUGGUAGCAGGUAACACAGAGGGACACUUAAUGUUCAUCAUUCUGACAUUUUUGUACAGUUUUCAUGGAAUUAAGACCUAAUUUCAAAAUAAAUGGUUGCUUUACUUCAGAGUGUUUGUUUUAUGAAAGCAACUGUGUUUCACCUAGCGUGUCUGGAGGAGAAUACUUUGUCCCAUUGAUGUCCACACCCUGGUUUCAUGGUGCUCUGGGCUUGUUACAAAACUGAAGUUCUACUGCAGAAACACUUUCUUUCCGUGCUUGCAUCUGCGUGUGCAUUUCCAAAUUGGAGGAGCACAGGAGGCUAAUGGACAAUUGCAGAAGUACACAGUGUCAAGAGAAAGAGACAAAAUAAGGGAGCUCUGGCUGAGGAUGAUGCAGACCUAUGCAGAAACAGUUUGUCAACUUGAGAGUCUGCAUGCUGAUCCUUCUGCAAAGGAGCGUCAGUCUGCACCUACAAGCGUUCAGCUAAAGCAGCAAGGCUUCAUGUGCAUCUGGAAUAGAAAAGUUUGACAGUAACCGGUACAAAAAGUAGUCCCCUUUUGAACGUUUUACUUUGAAUUGAGGGGCAAGUGCAGUCUUACUACACCCAAGCACAUGCAGAUAAAUAAAAUAACUUUAGUGCCUCCUUGUAGUUUGUACUUUGCUGUCUCCUUCUUGGAAACUCAAGGUACUGUUGAAGUCUUGGUAGUCUUAAAAUCACAGCAUAUAUUUCAGCUGUCACUUGGUGGAUCUCUAAGUCUAAUGUUCCUAAUAGUCAGGGAUUGGAAAAGGUAUACCAAAAUCAUCUAUUUGUUUGGGUUUCCAUCUACUAUUAUGUAGAUGUAACUUCAGAAGUGGUGAAGAAAAACUUUUUUCCUUAGAAGAUGCUAGUAAGAUCUAUAGUGACAUAUGCUUGAAUAAAAAUGUGACAACUUCAUGGAUUUCCUCCUUUAAAAAAAAAAUAUUUAACUGUACCUGGUUAUUGGGAAAUACAUAAAAACAAUAUCUUAGAGAAAUACUAAUGAACUAGAUUAAAAAAAAAAUAUAUAUAAGCCGAGCAUGCAACUGCCUUGUGAAUCUUUUCUAGUUUUUAAAGGACAGUUUGUGGAGUGUGUCCCUGCACAUGCAAUUCAUGUGGGAGUUACUUAAGUAUGGCUAUACCAAAGUCCAUGCAGCCCAACAUCCUGUGCCCAAAAGAGGAUGCCCAGAGAAUAUACUGUGGGAUAAAGGAUCAUUGUUUAAAGGCCUUCAAGGCUUUCUAGUAUAAAAGAGUUGUGGAAUACUGGUUUUCCUUCCCAACUGCUAUUAAUCUAACUUGUCAUGCUCGCUACUGCGUGCCAAGAUAGGAAGCAUCAAAAUCCAGACUCAUCUACAAGGGGAGAAUUAGGAAAUUUACUAAGAAAAAGGAGCACUUGUACAAGAUGUAAGUUUCCAACUAUGCACUCAGCAGCAAGCAGAUUCUUUUAAAGCAAAUCUGAAUGGAGACUACUAGCAAAUGUCCAGAAUAAUGUUUAUAGAAGAGACAAGAAGCAGCCACGUCAAUAAAGAUUUAUGUUUUAUCUGUUAUAUAUAUAAAAAAAAAAAAAAAAAAAAAAAAAAAAACUUGUGCAAAUCGACAUGAUUCAGGGAAGAAAAACUAUUGUUAAAGGAUGAAUGGUCCUUCUUGGUCAUGACAGCUAGUUUCAAUAAUUUUCUAUUUUGAAUUUAGCAAAUGAUUAGAACUGACUGGGCAAAAUGAAAAUGCUUUCCUCUCUAAGUAAAUUAAAGUAAGUUUUGGAAACUUCAA